AACGAACGCUGGCGGCAUGCCUAACACAUGCAAGUCGAACGAAGGCUUCGGCCUUAGUGGCGCACGGGUGCGUAACGCGUGGGGAUCUGCCCUUUGCUUCGGAAUAACAGUUAGAAAUGACUGCUAAUACCGGAUGAUGUCGUAGGACCAAAGAUUUAUCGGCAAAGGAUGAACCCGCGUAGGAUUAGCUAGUUGGUGGGGUAAAGGCCUACCAAGGCGACGAUCCUUAGCUGGUCUGAGAGGAUGAUCAGCCACACUGGGACUGAGACACGGCCCAGACUCCUACGGGAGGCAGCAGUGGGGAAUAUUGGACAAUGGGCGAAAGCCUGAUCCAGCAAUGCCGCGUGAGUGAUGAAGGCCUUAGGGUUGUAAAGCUCUUUUACCCAGGAUGAUAAUGACAGUACCGGGAGAAUAAGCUCCGGCUAACUUCGUGCCAGCCGCCGCCGUAAGAC
rnacentral:rRNA from 1 species